UACAGAGGUCCCAAGCGUUGUUCGGAUUCAUUGGGCGUAAAGGGUGCGUAGGUGGUUUGGUAAGUUGAAGGUGAAAUCUCGGAGCUCAACUCCGAAACUGCCUUCAAUACUGCUGGACUCGAGGACUGUAGAGGAGAAUGGAAUUCACGGUGUAGCAGUGAAAUGCGUAGAUAUCGUGAGGAAGACCAGUGGCGAAGGCGAUUCUCUGGGCAGUUCCUGACACUGAGGCACGAAGGCUAGGGGAGCAAACGGG
rnacentral:rRNA from 1 species